rnacentral:tRNA from 1 species
GCCCAGCUAGCUCAGUCGGUAGAGCAUGAGACUCUUAAUCUCAGGGUUGUGGGUUCAAGCCCCACGUUGGGUG